rnacentral:rRNA from 1 species
CCAGACUCCUACGGGAGGCAGCAGUGGGGAAUAUUGCGCAAUGGGGGCAACCCUGACGCAGCAACGCCGCGUGAUUGAAGAAGGCCUUCGGGUUGUAAAGAUCUUUAAUCAGGGACGAAAAAUGACGGUACCUGAAGAAUAAGCUCCGGCUAACUACGUGCCAGCAGCCGCGGUAAUACGUAGGGAGCAAGCGUUAUCCGGAUUUACUGGGUGUAAAGGGAGCGUAGACGGUUCUGCAAGUCUGAAGUGAAAGCCCGUGGCUUAACCGCGGAACGGCUUUGGAAACUGUGGAACUGGAGUGCUGGAGAGGCAAGCGGAAUUCCUAGUGUAGCGGUGAAAUGCGUAGAUAUUAGGAGGAACACCAGUGGCGAAGGCGGCUUGCUGGACAGUAACUGACGUUGAGGCUCGAAAGCGUGGGGAGCAAACAGGAUUAGAUACCCCUGUA